GACGUAGGGGGCCAGCGUUGCUCGGAAUCACUGGGCGUAAAGCGUACGUAGGCGGAUUGUUAAGUCAGGGGUGAAAUCCUGGAGCUCAACUCCAGAACUGCCUUUGAUACUGGCGAUCUUGAGUCCGGGAGAGGUGAGUGGAACUGCGGGUGUAGAGGUGAAAUUCGUAGAUAUUCGCAAGAACACCAGUGGCGAAGGCGGCUCACUGGCCCGGUACUGACGCUGAGGUGCGAAAGCGUGGGGAGCAAACAGG
rnacentral:rRNA from 1 species